UACGGGGGGAGCAAGCGUUGUUCGGAUUUACUGGGCGUAAAGGGCGCGUAGGCGGUCACGACAAGUCAGUUGUGAAAUCUCCGGGCUUAACUCGGAACGGUCAACUGAUACUGUCGGACUAGAGUGCAGAAGGGGCAACUGGAAUUCUCGGUGUAGCGGUGAAAUGCGUAGAUAUCGAGAGGAACACCUGCGGCGAAGGCGGGUUGCUGGGCUGACACUGACGCUGCGGCGCGAAAGCUAGGGGAGCGAACGGG
rnacentral:rRNA from 1 species